UGGCAUAGUGAGCACUUGAUUAAUUUCCCACACCUCACAUUUUCUGUUGUGUUGCCCUUGCCUGGUGGAGUCGUGUGGUUUGGGUUUUCUAUUCCAGUCCUUUCUCUGUUUAAACCCAGUUCAGGUGUAGCGAGAUAUAUCAUAGCGGGAGCUCUUUCAUAUCAGUCGGAUUGACCCAAACAUCUAGAGCAGCUGGAGAUUGUGCUGGCAUGGCUGAAACAAGAAGGCCUCAAAGCCAAGUUGGAAAAUUGUUCAUUCUUCAAACCGGAGACCAUGGGACUGAAUUUCGUGGCUUACUGGUUCAUCGUCGGGACGGCGAUGCAAAUAGGUGGGAUGGAUUGUGAUGGAAUGAAUAUUGCUACCACAACCCCCUCUGCUGGAGAAUAGGAGGAACUCACUACAGGUUUAGCUGCGUCCUUCACAGUUCAGGUGUAGCAAGAUAUGUCAUAGCGGGAGCUCUUUCAUAUCAGUCGGAUUGACCCAGUUGAGGGGAAGUGCCUAUCGGCUUAUGUCCAGCGUGGAGCCGUGGAAUUGGUCAAUAUUUGGCAGGACGUACGGACCCAGACUGCGCUGCUGUUUUGUCUCUGUGGUUUCUGCUGUUUAUUGCCCUCGUUGUCUUUAAUAGAUUUUCUUUCUUCUUUCUUUGUGUCAGCUGUUUGUUUGAUGGUUUUGGGAAUAUUAAAGGGUUUAUUUAGUUUUCUUUUCCAAACUUUUUGGGUAAUCGUGAUCAAGAUGGUUUAUGUGAUUUACGGGGAUGAUUAGUCAUGUACCCUAAUAUUUUGCAUAUAUCUGUAGUUUUCUAUCCUUUACUUACUCCAUUUUUUUGUGUAAUUGUAUAUUUGUUUUUGUAUUUCUUUUGUCAGUGCUGAGAGUUCUCCCUUUGGGGACCUAGUGAGAUACACCAUUUAUUCUUUGGGGUGCUGUGUGGAACACAUUUGUUUUUCAUUCGUUUGGUUGCAGUGGAGAGCACUAGAGUGUGAGGGUUUGUCUGUCGGGGGGGUUUAGGAUUUUUUCCUUGUAAGUGCUCUCAGCGUCCCAGGUGGUGCUUUCAGUUGUAUGUUGUGGCGGGGGUUUUUUUUUUUUGUUGUUGUUGUUGAAUUAAUAUUUGGUGGGUUUUUUUAUUUUUUAUUUUUUAUUUUUUAAUGGGUAUUUAAAAGGUAUCUGUAUCGAACAUGUCCCCCUGUGAAUUGUGACUUCCUUGUUUUUAAACAGAAAAAAUAUUUUUGAUGUAAUAAAACAUUGGUUUUAA